ensembl:lncRNA
UCACCCAGUUCAAUGUAACAGUGACAGGUUUAGGUUACUGUCAUUCACCCAGUUCAAUGUAACAGUGACAGGUUUAGGUUACUGUCAUUCAUAUUCACCCAGUUCAAUGUAACAGUGACAGGUUUAGGUUACUGUCAUUCAUAUUCACCCAGUUCAAUGUAACAGUGACAGGUUUAGGUUACUGUCAUUCAUAUUCACCCAGUUCAAUGUAACAGUGACAGGUUUAGGUUACUGUCAUUCAUAUUCACCCAGUUCAAUGUAACAGUGACAGGUUUAGGUUACUGUCAUUCACAUUCACCCAGUUCAAUGUAACAGUGACAGGUUUAGGUUACUACAUGAUACUAGAAUGUUCCCUGUACCCAUCAUGAGGUUGCUACAGCCUAGCCUAUGAAUUCAAGUUUACAACGUAGGCACACAGGUCGAGAGAUACAUUUGAGGUGACAGACCGUGACAUUCAAUAUCGCCUUGCACACGCUUGCCUGCAUCUAGCUGAUCUAGGGUGUAGUCAUUAGU